CUUUCCUUCGGGGACAAGGAGACAGGUGGUGCAUGGUUGUCGUCAGCUCGUGUCGUGAGAUGUUGGGUUAAGUCCCGCAACGAGCGCAACCCUUAUCUUCAGUAGCCACGCAUUUAAAGAGUGGGCACCUCUGGAGAGACUGCCGAGGGAUAACCUGGAGGAAGGUGGGGAUGACGUCAAAUCAUCAUGCCCCUUAUGACCAGGGCUACACACGUGCUACAAUGGCGUAAACAAAGAGGAAGCAGAGCCGCGAGGCGAGCAAAUCCCAAAAAUAACGUCUCAUUCGGAUUGUAGUCUGCAACUCGACUACAUGAAGCUGGAAUCGCUAUAAUCGCGAAUCAUCAUGUCGCGGUGAAUACGUUCCCCGGGUCUUGUACAC
rnacentral:rRNA from 1 species